GCCGAAGUGGUGAAACUGGUAGACACGCUGUGUUCAGGGCGCAGUGCUCGACAGAGUGUGUGGGUUCGAAUCCCACCUUCGGCA
rnacentral:tRNA from 2 species